AUACGUAGGGUGCGAGCGUUGUCCGGAAUUACUGGGCGUAAAGAGCGCGUAGGUGGUUUGUCGCGUCGUCUGUGAAAUUCCGGGGCUUAACUCCGGGCGUGCAGGCGAUACGGGCAUAACUUGAGUACUGUAGGGGAGACUGGAAUUCCUGGUGUAGCGGGGAAAUGCGCAGAUAUCAGGAGGAACACCGGUGGCGAAGGCGGGUCUCUGGGCAGUAACUGACGCUGAGGAGCGAAAGCAUGGGUAGCGAACAGGAUUAGAUACCCGGGUAGUCCAUGCCGUAAACGGUGGGCGCUAGGUGUAGGGGUCUUCCACGACUUCUGUGCCGUAGCUAACGCAUUAAGCGCCCCGCCUGGGGAGUACGGCCGCAAGGCUAAAACUCAAAGGAAUUGACGGGG
rnacentral:rRNA from 1 species